UUUUUGUACAACUUCAUAUAAAUCGCUGUAACUUUUGAUAGAAGACUCAGACAAACAUGUUUAUGGCUUUAUCUUAUAGAACUCAAGGUCCCCGUGCUGGGCAAACAGGUUUUGCAGCCGUUUGAGCUAAGAUUUUAAAAUUAUUCACAUAAUGAAAACCUAUACUUUGUCUCGGGCGAGUUUCCCAUUCAAAUGCAUGUAACAGUGAGAAACACACUGUCUUGGCGAAAUAAAGCGUUUUUCAACCACUUCAUAUAAAUCGCUGUAACUUUUGAUAGAAGACUCAGACAAACAUGUUUAUGGCUUUAUCUUAUAGAACUCAAUAUCCCCGUGCUGGGCAAACAGGAUUUGCAGCUGUUUGAGCUAAGAUUUUAAAGUUAUUCACAUAAUGAAAACCUAUACUUUGUUUCGGCGAGUUUCCCCAUUCAAAUGCAUGUAACAGUGAGAAACGCACUGUCUUGGCGAAAGAAAGCGUUUUUGUACAACUUCAUAUAAAUCGCUGUAACUUUUGAUAGAAGACUCAGACAAACAUGUUUAUGGCUUUAUCUUAUAGAACUCAAUAUCCCCGUGCUGGGCAAACAG
ensembl:lncRNA